rnacentral:rRNA from 1 species
GUCUGUGGCCAUACCACCCUGAAUGCGCCAGAUCUCGUCUGAUCUCAGAAGCUAAGCAGGGUCGGGCCUGGUUAGUACUUGGAUGGGAAAAAGACUUCAAAACACAGCGAGUGUCAUUGGGC